rnacentral:piRNA from 1 species
UCNGUAAACCUACGCUAGCUUCUGCAC